UAAACCUUUGAUUAUUUGAAUACAACAAAAUGGCUGUCGCUGGCUUAUUAUUUUUAGGAAACAUAACAUGAUGCAGUCAGUAAUGUGAAAUUGUGUUCAAUAUUGAAAAACAGUUCUGAAAUGAGACUUUAGAGGGAUGGAUAUCAUGAAUUUUUCGGGAAAUAUUUCCGAAAACUCAAAACUAUGGAGGCAAUAACUUUAAAAUUAUUUGGUGGCAUCAGUAACGGAAAAAAAUAUGAAAAAAUUCAAAUAGCUCAACUUUUCCAUUACAUAGGUGAGGAAGGUUUUGUUAUUUACAACACAUUCACUUUUAAAAACAACACUGAAAAAAAUAAAAUAAAAACCGUAGCGGAAAUGUUCGAGAAACACUUUUUGCUGAAAAAAAAUCUGUUCAAUGAAUGUUAUGAAUUUUCAACACACAAGCAAAUGUCUAACAAAACAAUGGAACAAUUUGACGGAUUUCAAAACUAAAGCAAAGUCGUGCAAAUUUGGUGACUCAAAGGAAAGCCUUAUAAAAACAUUUUACACCUGUGGACUACAAAAACAAGGUCUUGCAAAAAAUUACUUCGAGAUGAUGAGACGGAUUUAGAAAAAACUGUAAAGUUUUGUAUAGCAUUCAAGAAUUCGAAACGACAGUCUAAAAUCCAUCCCACAAGCUUUCUGUUCAACAAAUUCUAUGGAAGUGCAGUCAAAGGAUAACAAGUGAGCCGACAAAUCAAUAAACAAAACGGGCCAUAUCUGGAAAAGAAAUUUUGCCAUCAUAGUGAAGUGUUCAUAGGAAAAACUAGUAAGCAGCAUAUAACAAAAGUGUAACGAGUCCGUCUACUUGAACCAUUUCGCAAAAAUGUGCUUGCAAAAAAUUGUUGAUGUGGUUGAAAGGGACUACAAUGAAGGUAGUGAUAAUGAAAAUUAUCUAAUCAUAGGGGGUGUAGAUUCUGAAACGGACGAACGUAAUGAUUCAUGGUUCGCAUCCCUCUCAAUGAAUGAUGUAUUAACAAAAUUCAAACUAGAUACUGGAACCCAAGCCAAUUUCAUAUCAGUUGAUAAAUUGGAAACCAUAAAUUCCGACCCUGAAUUGAUAAUAAUGUAUGACAUUGAUUUGAAAUCAUAUACAAAUGAUAAUUUACCUAUUCUUGGAAAAUGUUUUUUUGAAUUGCCGAUACAAAAAAAAGGGAUAUAGAUUGUGAUUUUUUUGUAUUUGAAUCGAGUUAUCAAUGCAUUCUUGGUUUUGAAACGUGUGAGAAUGAAUUUUUUGAAACGGAUUGAUGUUGUUGAUAGGCAUGAUCUAAGAUAUGAGCCAAACAAAUAUAUAAAGUUUUAAAAAAAUUAUGAAGAUAAAUUCACGGGUUUGGGUUGCCUGUUACGAUUAGUUGUAAAUAGUUGAACGCUAAUUAUUAAAUUAGGGCAACUCUAUUUGUGAAACACCCGAUAUAUAGUUCCAGCCGACUCGAUAAGUUUUUUUUGAAAAAAAAAAGGAACGUUUUUUUCUUUCGUUCGUCCGCUCUAGGGAAUUCGUGAGUGAAACUGAAGGAUAACGUUCGGAAGAUUUGAUUUCAGGCAAAUUCUGGUUUUCGAAUAUAAAAUUACGUCUUUUGACGGAUAUAAACCUGCCGUGCCUUGUUGUGAUAUUGUGAUUGGGUAAUUCUGCUGUGGAGCGAUCUUGCAAUAUCCUUAUUAUCGAUUGGUAUGAAUUUUAUCGAAUGAAUUAUUUCUUCCGGACCGUUUAAAAACAUCUCCGGCAAUGUUAGGGCAGUCGAGCAUUGGGAGAUGUUUUUCUCUGAUAUGGUAAAUCGAAAUUUCGCCCGGACGGUGCUACCUUUGAGAACACGUCGAAGUGGAUGGGGUCAGACCUUUUUGAACUUUAUUGCCUUGUACGUAGCGACUAAACCACAAAUUUUCCGAAGUCAUAUGGAUGGUGGUGUUCCUAUUUCGACCGUGUGGACGUGGAAUUAAGAGCUUUUCACGAAUUUGCGUAUUAGCGGGCCAUAGGAAUCUACACAUCACUAGCAGCUAGAUAAGUACCGAUUAGAAGUUUUAUUAAUGGUGUUGUUUUUGCGGUAUUCUGACAUUAUUGUUUACGAAAGCAAUGAACCUCUCUGAAUAGGUGUUUCCGAAUAGUUUUGUCUUCGCCUUUGUAUAAGCGUUUAGUUUGUAGUAUAAGUGAAGAAUAAAUCCGUUGAACAGGCGUAUUUUGGGGAAGCAACAUUCAACGUUUUUAUUCUUGUUCCUUUGUCGUAUUCCACCUUAUUGUUUUCGCGUAUCUGGAUUGUUUAGUAGUUUCAUUUCAGGUUUAGGCUAGUCGGUGCACAAGAAACUACUUGGCGCCCUUGUUAUCAAUUUUUUUUGUACAUAUUUAUACUUUUCUGUCUGAUUUAACCCACGGCCCUUACGAGCAAGCACAUUACUUGCCGUACACAAAAAAAAAGGACAGAAGUGUUAUUCCUAAUGUUUUAAAAAUAAAUGUCUUUGAUAGAUAA
rnacentral:lncRNA from 1 species